rnacentral:rRNA from 1 species
AACGAACGCUGGCGGCAGGCUUAACACAUGCAAGUCGAGCGCCCCGCAAGGGGAGCGGCAGACGGGUGAGUAACGCGUGGGAACGUGCCCUUUGGUUCGGAACAACUCCGGGAAACUGGAGCUAAUACCGGAUAAGCCCUUCGGGGGAAAGAUUUAUCGCCAAAGGAUCGGCCCGCGUCUGAUUAGCUAGUUGGUGGGGUAAUGGCCCACCAAGGCGACGAUCAGUAGCUAGUCUGAGAGGAUGAUCAGCCACACUGGGACUGAGACACGGCCCAGACUCCUACGGGAGGCAGCAGUGGGGAAUAUUGGACAAUGGGCGCAAGCCUGAUCCAGCCAUGCCGCGUGAGUGAUGAAGGCCUUAGGGUUGUAAAGCUCUUUUGUCCGGGAAGAUAAUGACUGUACCGGAAGAAUAAGCCCCGGCUAACUUCGUGCCAGCCGCCGCCGUAAGAC